rnacentral:rRNA from 1 species
GACAGAGGGUGCAAACGUUGUUCGGAAUUACUGGGCGUAAAGGGUGCGUAGGCGGCGCGGUAAGUCGGAUGUGAAAUCUCGGAGCUUAACUUCGAAACUGCAUUCGAUACUGCCGUGCUUGAGGACUGGAGAGGAGACUGGAAUUUACGGUGUAGCGGUGAAAUGCGUAGAUAUCGUAAGGAAGACCAGUGGCGAAGGCGGGUCUCUGGACAGUUCCUGACGCUGAGGCACGAAGGUCAGGGGAGCAAACGGG